GACACAACUUUUCUUUCUUCAUAUACUGUCUGCGUUUCUUUUUAAGGGCGAGAUCACUGCACGAAAAAGGCUUUCCACAACUGAAUUCCAGCUGAAUAUUCAUACAGCUAAAAAGCAUCAUGGAAUCAAGAUGUCGUCCCCCCGGAGAUUCCCAGAUGGCUGAUGUCGUAACAUGGUCUGGGAGAAAAAUGAUGCAACAUGCUUGCAAGACUUCAGUCAGUUUCCAGCAGCAGUCAGGUGCGGCAGCGAUGAUUUAAAGUCAGUUUUCUGAACAUCUGUGUAACCUGUUUGUAAAUGAACUUCACAAGUCAUGCUUAGUUGUGCUCAUAUCGGCCACGCUGUGAAUUUUCUUUUCAGUUUUUACCAAAACAGGUUUGUUUAAUUUUAUUUUGCUGUUGAACUCCCCCAUCCUCCCCUUAAAAAAAUGUGUUUUUGCGGUUUUUUUUUCCUUAACCUAUUUCAUCAUACACUAAACCGCGACGUUCUUGGUGUUUGGUUUCUAAUCUUUAUUAAAAGGGCACCUGGUUUGUUCUCUGUUAUUCAGCAUAAACAUGUCCCAGAUUUCAGAUUUCUCUGAUAGGAUAUCUGCUUUCUGGUCUUUGUGCUCUCUGCUACUCUUCCUGUAAAUAAAUGCCUCAUUGUCUGGU